UUUAAAGGAUAAAAGUAAUCCAUUGGUCUUA
rnacentral:tRNA from 1 species